rnacentral:rRNA from 1 species
UACGUAGGGUCCGAGCGUUGUCCGGAAUUAUUGGGCGUAAAGAGCUUGUAGGCGGUUUGUCGCGUCUGCUGUGAAAACCUGCAGCUUAACUGUGGGCCUGCGGCCGAUACGGGCAGACUUGAGUUCGGUAGGGGAGACUGGAAUUCCUGGUGUAGCGGUGAAAUGCGCAGAUAUCAGGAGGAACACCGGUGGCGAAGGCGGGUCUCUGGGCCGAUACUGACGCUGAGGAGCGAAAGCGUGGGGAGCGAACAGG